GACGAACCGAGCGAACGUUAUUCGGAAUCACUGGGCUUAAAGGGCGCGUAGGCGGGCCAUCAAGUCAGGGGUGAAAGCCCCCAGCUCAACUGGGGAAGUGCCUCUGACACUGGUGGCCUCGAGGGAGGUAGGGGCGUGCGGAACUUCCGGUGGAGCGGUGAAAUGCGUAGAUAUCGGAAGGAACACCGGUGGCGAAAGCGGCGCGCUGGACCUCUUCUGACGCUGAGGCGCGAAAGCCAGGGGAGCAAACGGG
rnacentral:rRNA from 1 species